UUUAUUGGAGAGUUUGAUCCUGGCUCAGGAUGAACGCUGGCGGCGUGCCUAAUACAUGCAAGUCGAGCGAAUGGAUUAAGAGCUUGCUCUUAUGAAGUUAGCGGCGGACGGGUGAGUAACACGUGGGUAACCUGCCCAUAAGACUGGGAUAACUCCGGGAAACCGGGGCUAAUACCGGAUAACAUUUUGAACCGCAUGGUUCGA
rnacentral:rRNA from 1 species